AAGCUCGUAGUUGAAUUUCGGGCCUGGCUGGACGGUCCGCCCUUCGGGUGAGUACUGUCUGUGGUCGGGUCCUACCUUCUGGCGAAGCGUCAUGGCCUUAACCGGCCGUGGCGGGGAACCAGGACUUUUACUGUGAAAAAAUUAGAGUGUUUAAAGCAGGCCAAAUUGCUUGAAUACAUUAGCAUGGAAUAAUGGAAUAGGACCUCGGUUCUAUUUUGUUGGUUUCUAGGACCGACGUAAUGAUUAAUAGGGAUAGUUGGG
rnacentral:rRNA from 1 species